rnacentral:rRNA from 1 species
CGGGACGGGUGAGUAAUGUCUGGGAAACUGCCUGAUGGAGGGGGAUAACUACUGGAAACGGUAGCUAAUACCGCAUAACGUCGCAAGACCAAAGAGGGGACCUUCGGGCCCCUUGCCAUCGGAUGUGCCCAGAUGGGAUUAGCUAGUAGGUGGGGUAAUGGCUCACCUAGGCGACGAUCCCUAGCUGGUCUGAGAGGAUGACCAGCCACACUGGAACUGAGACACGGUCCAG